AGGGGAAUCACCCACCUGGUGUCCCAGGUCUAAAUCAGUCCCUGAUUAGAGGGGAAUCACCCACCUGGUGUCCCAGGUCUAAACCAGUCCCUGAUUAGAGGGGAAUCACCCACCUGGUGUCCCAGGUCUAAAUCAGUCCCUGAUUAGAGGGG